UACGUAGGGUGCAAGCGUUAAUCGGAAUUACUGGGCGUAAAGCGUGCGCAGGCGGUUUUGUAAGACAGGCGUGAAAUCCCCGGGCUCAACCUGGGAAUGGCGCUUGUGACUGCAAAGCUGGAGUGCGGCAGAGGGGGAUGGAAUUCCGCGUGUAGCAGUGAAAUGCGUAGAUAUGCGGAGGAACACCGAUGGCGAAGGCAAUCCCCUGGGCCUGCACUGACGCUCAUGCACGAAAGCGUGGGGAGCAAACAGG
rnacentral:ncRNA from 4 species